AUACAUUGAAUAGAGCGUAUGCAUGUGUAUAUAUUUUAUAAAUUAGUAUAUAUAUAUAUAUAUAUAUAUAUAUACAUUGUAGUAUAUUUUAUUCAAAGUAGUACAUAUACAUUGAAUGGUGCGUAUAUAUAUGUAUAUAUCUUCUAUACACGUGUAUAUUUAAUGUAUACAUGUGUAUAUGUUUUAUAAAUUAGUACACACACACACACAUAUAUAUAUAUAUGUAUAUAUAUGUAUAUAUCUUCUAUACACGUGUAUAUUUAAUGUAUACAUGUGUAUAUGUUUUAUAAAUUAGUACACACACACACACAUAUAUAUAUAUAUAGAUAGAUAUAAUGUAUAUAUAUUAUAUUAUAUUUUAUUUAAACUUUAAAGGCCAAACCCAUCGGUGGCCCCCUAAACUUGACAUGAACUUUCACGUAGACACCUCAAGUGAACGUUGUUUACUUUUGACACCUCAAGUAGCCAUAAACUGUGUCACUUUGACACCUUUUGCUGAUUCAGCAAAGACUCUUUUGGGCGCGUGGCAGCGCCAUUUUAGCCCAUUUUUCUUUUAAUUUAAUCACCUUCUUCCCUAUUUUUUUCAUCCUACAUCUUCCAACCUCCAUUAAUGGAGUAUCCUACAUCUUUCAACCUUCAUUAAUUUUCUUUUGUCAAUUAAUUUUCUAAUUGAACACAGGCGUCUUCUCCUCCAUAUUUUUUAAUCAUAUAUCUGAAAUUCGAGAAGCUAUUAAUGCGAAUUGAAAAUAUGGAUAUUAAGCUUGAAGAUCUAGUUUGAAAAUCUCUUGUUUAUUAAAUUCUUGGUUGAAUUUAGAAAAUAAUUAGAUUAUCUGUGUUAUUUUAAGCUAUUUUAAGUUCCCAAACGUCAAUGUAGCUGUAUAUGAGUUUUUUAGGAAAAAAAAAAAACAGGCUUCUUUCACCCUUAACCAAAGGAAUUAGUUUAAGAGAAUAAACCAGAUUCGGUAAUUGGUAAUCAAUACAUCUCGCUUGGUUCAAUCAAACAUGUCAUGUAGGAAGUGUGUUGGCACCUUUUUACGUUAAAUUAAAACAUGUUCCUUUUUGUUGUAAUGUUGGUGAAAAUUUUUCUUAUAUCAGCUUACAUUUCUGAUUCAAUGAUUGUUGAUUCUUAUGACUAAUGAAAUUGUGAUACCUUCCCCAAUGCAUUUCUGAAAAUUGUUUUACCUUUGCGUGUUUAAUGCACGGAAGUGCUUUUGAACGACUGUGUUCUUUUCAUUUUCCAUAAAGAGGUUGCAACCUCCAUUGAUGGAGAGCUAGAAGAACGAUUGGAUGAGUAAGAUGAAGUUUUGUAAUUAUUUGGUCAAAAGCCACGUGUCAUUAAUUCAAUGGACACCUUAUAAUGUAUUUUAUUUUCUUUUAAAAAAAAAUUGUGGAUGCAUAUAAUGACAUUAAAAGAAAUUGUGGAUGCAUAUAAUGACGUGGCAAUUUAAAAUGAGAUGGCACAAAUUAAUUGGCCAUUUAAUUCAUGCUGGACGCGCGUGUAAUUCAUGCACUAGAGUUGGUGCCAAAGUGACACAGUUUAUGGCUACUUGAGGUGCCAAAAGUGAACGACGUUCACUUGAGGUGCCUAAGUGAAAGAUUGUGUCAAGUUUACGGGGUCAACGAUGGGUUUGGCCAACUUUAAAGUAGUACAUAUACACUGAAUGGUGCGUAUAUAUGUGUAAUUGUGUAUUUAUUAUUUUUUAAAUUCUAAUGCAGUAUAUACUAUAUAUAUAGUGUAUAUAUAUUGUUUAACGUAUUUAAAAUGUAUAUAAAUGGGUAUAUAUAGAGUAUAUUGAAAAAACUUUUUUUUUAUUAUUUUUGACCGGAUUUAACAGGAUUUUUAAUCGGGCUGGGUUAAGUGGGCCGGAUUAGAGCUAUUUUUAAAAAUUUUACUGUUGAAUCCGAACCGGCCCGGCCCACUUAACCCCAACCCGGACCCAGCCCAAUCCACAACCUGGAUAAAUUUAAUGGGCCGAUUUCGGGUUGACUCAGUCCAACCCACUUAACACCCUUAUGUUGCAUUAAUGCUGUUGAGCUGGAAAAAUACGUAUUUGCACGUGUUUUCAAGCUUGUGAAACCAAUAUUUUGCAUUUAAAAAAAAACAAUAAUAAAUUUAGAAAAAAGAAAAAAAAACAAAAUCCUAAACAUUUCUUCUUUGACCCUCCCCACCCACCACACCUAGCCAACCGCCACAAGCCCUGCUCCAUUCGUUCUUCAGCCCUCAGACCCCACCCCACCCCCAC
rnacentral:lncRNA from 1 species